UCCAUAUAGUUUCUGGUUCUCAAGUAUGUUAUUCACGCCCAUUAGUGCAAAAAUAAAGUGAAAUCUGGUGAGUGCUUGUUUUCCAUUUGGUUCUUCACCAGCACCAUCACUAAUCUGUAGUUCAGAAAUUGUACUCGGAUAUAGUGUUUCAUAAUAAUAUUUCAUGUUAUUGCAUAAGUAAAUAGUGGUAUAUUAUUUGGCUGGUCUGCUAUUUGGGAAAACAAAAGAAAAUGAUACUAUACAGGGAUAAUAUGAAAUUUAUUUUUAAUCUUAUACUCCUGCGUGGUUGGUGCAAGGUGAUUCUUCCCUGCGACGGCAACGCCACCAGCGAACUGGGAGGUGUUGCGGCUCCUCUGCAACUGCACGUACCUUGGUUAGCCUUACUCAACCUUUUGCAUCCCCUCUUGCUUGCUUUCUCUAACUGUAGGGAUUUCUCGAGUUAGGAUUCUGUUUGCUUCUCACGGUGGGCUUAAUCAUUAGUUAGAGAGAUCUAGCAAUAGCUCUAACAUAUUGCCACGGGAAAACAUGCACAACAAGGUUAUUAAUUUCUUACAAACAUCCAUGAUACUCCUGAUAUCUCUGUCCUUUUGUGUGGAUCCACAAUAUCAACCAUUUUGCUUGGUGCAAGUGGAUCAGGCUAGGGAAAAUUUACUAACACAUGAAACAGAAUGUCAAUAUGGUUUAAAUUUUUUUAAUUAGAUUGUCUAAUUUGCAAUUUCUUCACUCCAAAAGUUCCGAUCUGUAGGUUUCUGUACAAAAAUGCACUCCAAAGGUGUUUUUGGAUCAACAAAUGUUUUUAUAAUUCACGGCGGGAGGAUAAACUGAAAAACAAGUAUUCCAAAUGAUUGUAGAUGCUCUGUAGGAAACAAGUAUUCCAAAUUCACUAAAGAACAGUUGACGCACCUUCAAAGACGCACAAUGACAUUUUUCGUGCUUUUGUUCGUGCUUUUGCAUGCUAUCUGUGUUAUGGUUAUUGAUAUUUUUUCAUGGUGUUAAAGACUUCGACAGAUACCUAUUUACGUGCUUUUGUUCCUUCCACAGCGUGGUCCGGCCCGAGGAGAUUCCGAAGGUCUUGGAAAUCAGCGGCAAGCGCAGCCUCAUCGACAACUUCUUCUUCUCCUACCACGUGUAAUAAUCACGGUACACCUGUUUACGUGCUUUUGCAUAUUAUAUAUAAAAGAACUGCAAUUGGAUAAAAUUCUUUUUGUUAGGUGUGUUCAUAUUCCAUGGACAAUCUAAAACGAACAAUUAAUCAAGUUCGUAUAUUUUGUGUAUCUAUACAAUGUAACUAAACUCUUUAUAUAACAACUAGAAGAUCAAUGGCACCGUCUACACUUAACCAACAUAGGUCGGUUGCAGUCCUACAUCACGUCUCUACAGAGUCUCCAUAAGCACACAUUUCAGUUGUCGCAUCUAUAUAUGUGUGGACAAAAGAAUCUAAACUCACUUUUAAUGUAGACUCACUUGUAGUGGCUGAAAGUGUAAGAUGUGCCAGUCAGGCCACAUAGGUGCCUGAGUGGAAGCUUCAAAACAUCACUCACUCAACAGUGAGGUAACAGAAGAUUUGUACAGUUCUAACAUGCUGCUUACCAAAGAAAGUAUUAAUCUUGAAAAAUCCAUGUCAUCACGAUGGGAACGCCUAUAGCAGAAAUUGUUCUAGAAUGCAACUGCCACUGAAACACACUAUGCUUGCACUGAUAAAAGAAAUUUGUUCCAUGUAAUGAGCAAUGAAAAUGCAGAAACUGAAACCGUUAAUGUCAUCUUUGAGAGGGGAAAAUUCAGGCAACAAAUAAAGCAAAUGCAAGUCCCUUAGGACAAUCCUCCUCAAUUUGCCCCUAACCGGACAAGCCCUCAAUCUCCUACGAUCCUCAUGCAACCGAACAAGAUCUAAGGGAGUUUGUUGGUUUAUUCUUUGGGUCGGAUUGUUGACCAGGAAGCCUUGAUCAGUAUGGGUUUGGGGUGGCAAUAUUUUUCCUUAGGGUAAUCAGUGCAAUCAGUGGGGCUAGCUGCUGUUUGUUGGGCUAUUUGGCGUACCAGGAAUGCAGUGUGCUUCGACAACGAAAUAGCAAAAUUUCCUACUGAGAUUGCUUGCUUGAUAUGUUCCUUUUUCUUGCAUAUUGGGCAGGUCUACUAAUGGAGAACUUGGAGCAGCAAGUUAUCCAGGGAGCGGAGUAGUGAAGUCUAAGGCCCUCUUUUCUUUCACAGGCAAGAUGUGCAGUAUGUGUGUAUCAGCUAGGUGCAGCCUGCGCACUGUUCGGGCAGGUGCCCUGUAACUAUAAGGAACACUUAGCUGUGUUUUCAGAGAUUUUUGGUUAGUUGUUCUGAACUUUGUUUCUAGGAGUGGCGGUAGUCAGU
rnacentral:lncRNA from 1 species